AUUCCCUUCCAUAUUUUGUUGUUGUAUGUACUUGAACCUAGAAAUUAAAUAUUGGCCAGCGCUUAUUUGAGGACUGAUUUUUCUAGUUUGCAGCUCAUGAUUAGGAGCAAAAUUCAAGAUCCGGGAUCCACGUGAGAUGCAAGAGCCUUUGCUCUAUUCAAGGUAUAUAUUUUUACUUUUGUUUUCACCCUGGUCUCUAAUCAAGGUUUUAUCAUUAAUAAUUGCUGAUCAAGUUGUCUCAUGUAUAUUAAAUCAUACCAUGCUAUGUCCAUUGUGCCAAAGAUCAUGAGAUCUGCAUUUAACCAGUAAUUUCUAUGUUUGUUUAGUAUGAACACAACUUAUUUCUAUUCCAUUUUGAUUUUUUAUUGUCUCAAUUUGUAAGUGUUGUAAAAAUGUGUUCUCUAGUUCUGUUUAUCCAUAGCUAUUGGUUUGAUGCUCUUUUAUUAUAUUAGGAUUUAGGAAGCAUUGACCAGCUGCAUGGCAAGUACAACGAGCAUUAUCAGUACAACAAGGAGAUUCAAUCAAGGCAAGAAAUUCUACCAUAUUGUUCUGAAUGAAGAGGUAACUUUCCCUACUAUUACAUUAUCAAAUUAUUGCAUAAUGCUUUGGUUUCUACUAUUAUGGAGAUGAUCAAGGAUCUGUCGAGUAUUCUUGCAAAUCUGAAUGGAUAGACUUAACUCCCUAUUAUUUUCUUAUUAUAUAGCUUUGUGGUUAUGCAUCCUUGAGGAGUUGCACUUAAUUAUAUUCACAUUGGUAUUGUGUUCUGAAGUUGACUUGCAAGAAGUCUCAAAUAAAUUAUCUACUCCGGCUGUUAGCUGAUAGUUCUGUCAAACUGACACAGAAGCUUCUGCUCAGGUUGUCAUUUGAAUGGAUUUAGUCAGCUGUAUGGUUUGCAUCAAAUCUGAGACAUGAUGGUAGAACAAAUCACUCCAUUAUUUGGCUAUAUAGCUGUUAAAUUUGGUAACCCUGCUGUGACAAAAACAAGUUUGGUAUAUAUGCCAAUGUUAAUGUGAGAAGCUGAGAUUCCAAAUAGAUUAUGUUGAUCAUAUCUUAUAUAUGUUUUCCUGUUUCUUGUUACCUUUUUGUAGCAAACUGUUGACACUUGCUCAUUUUCACAAGUUCAAUUAUGCCACUGCAGGGUAACCUUGAAGAGCAGCUUGCAACUUAAGCUGCAGCAAGGCAUUAUAGAAAAUGAGGUCUCAUGUUGGACCUCUGUUUUUGUUAGCCUUUGAUUCAUGUAAAUUCUAUGGAA
rnacentral:lncRNA from 1 species